rnacentral:rRNA from 1 species
UGAUCCUGGCUCAGGAUAAACGCUGGCGGCGUGCCUUACGCAUGCAAGUCGAACGAAGCCCCACCGUUCGCGGUGGGAGACUGAGUGGCAAACGGCUGAGUAACGCGUAGGUGACCUGUCCCGAGGUGCGGAACAACCCGUCGAAAGGCGAGCUAAUACCGCAUGAGCCCACCGUUCAGCGGUGGGGAAAGCUCCGGCGCCUUGGGAGGGGCCUGCGUCCGAUUAGCUAGUUGGUGAGGUAAUGGCUCACCAAGGCGACGAUCGGUAGCUGGUCUGAGAGGAUGAUCAGCCAGACUGGGACUGAGAUACGGCCCAGACUCCUACGGGAGGCAGCAGCGAGGAAUCUUGCGCAAUGGGCGAAAGCCUGACGCAGCAACGCCGCGUGGGUGACGAAGGCCUUCGGGUUGUAAAACCCUUUUGACGGGGAAGAAGCUCUGACGGUACCCGUCGAAUAAGCCACGGCUAACUACGUGCCAGCAGCCGCGGUAAGACGUAGGUGGCGAGCGUUAUCCGGAUUUACUGGGCGUAAAGGGUACGUAGGCGGUGCCGUAAGUCUGCUGUGAAAUCUCCCGGCUCAACUGGGAGGGGUCGGUGGAAACUGCGACACUUGAGGUGCGUCGAGGCAAGUGGAAUUCCCGGUGUAGUGGUGGAAUGCGUAGAUACCGGGAGGAACACCAGUGGCGAAAGCGGCUUGCCAGGCGCUACCUGACGCUAAGGUACGUAAAGCGU